rnacentral:snRNA from 1 species
GAGCACCGCACGUCGCGUGGU